GUGAGAUUCCAGCUGGCUUUGCUAAAGUCGGGGUGGAUGAAAUCAUGGCGGGGUUUCAUGAUAUGGAGCUCGACAUAGCUGGACCCGAAGAUGAGAGGACACUCGGAGAAGUACUGGGUGGAGUCAUCCUAUGGGACAAGAACUACAUCAAGCUUCCAGGCUCGGCCCCAAGGACAACACCGCCUCCGAGUCGUCGCAGGUCACCUACACCUCCAUUACCUCCAAGCCCUCCACAUGACGUCAGCCAGCACAACACGAGUCCAUCUCGAUCACCACCGCCGGACUNNNNNNNNNNUUCCGAGUCGUCGCAGGUCACCUACACCUCCAUCACCUCCAAGCCCUCCACAUGACGUCGGCCAUCACAACACGAGUCCAUCUCGAUCACCGCCGCCGGACUUGGGUCGUCCGUCUCCGCCACCGCCCGCUCCGGAUACUAAGCGGAAGCGUGCCAGCAAGAAUGCUCCGCCGAUGAUUUCUAAGCGACGGAGCCCCCCAAAGCGCAAACUGUCGCCCCUCCCAAAGGUACCUCAUGCUAAUCUUCCUAUCAGACCUUAUGAUCGUACCCCCG
rnacentral:lncRNA from 1 species